ACCUUUCCGCUAUUGGAAGGUCCAAGCCUGCCCAGUGAUAAAAUUCAACGGCCGCGGUACCCUAACCGUGCGAAGGUAGCAUAAUCACUUGUUCUUUAAAUGAGGACUAGUAUCAACGGCAUCACGAGGACUACACUGUCUCCUCUCUUCAAUCAGUGAAACUGAUCUCCCCGUGAAGAAGCGGGGAUUUACUUAUAAGACGAGAAGACCCCAUGGAGCUUUAAACCCAAUGUAUAACCCAACACACAAAUCAGUAAAGCCCUGAGGAUUUAUACACUGGUUUUAGGUUGGGGAGACCACGGAGUAAAACUAAACCUCCACAACAAACUGGCUAACGCCCUGAUCUAUGAACUACAACUCUAAGAGCCAACAAAUUGUUGCCACGACCCAAUCACUUGAUUAAUGAACCAAGUUACCCUGGGGAUAACAGCGCAAUCUACUUCAAGAGCCCCUAUCGACAAGUAGGUUUACGACCUCGAUGUUGGAUCAGGGUAUCCAAGUGGCGCAGCCGCUACUAAUGGUUCGUUUGUUCAACGACUAAGACCCUACGUGAUCUGAGUUCAAACCGGA
rnacentral:rRNA from 1 species